GGCCUGGUGGUGUAAUGGGAGCCACGUCGGUUUUAGAAACCGAUGCCGUAAGGCGUGAGGGUUCGACUCCCUCCUGGGCCA
rnacentral:tRNA from 1 species